CUCGGCCCGACUUUCCUCCAGCAGCGCAGGCCGGAUGGGGGUUGCUAGAGACGCUCGGGGCCGGAGGCACCGGGAGUAUCCUUGAGAGGACAUAGAGAGGAGAGCACGGUUCUUUACCCGCUUAGGGUUGAACUUGCAGCAUGUCGAAAAUCGUGAAACUUUCCCUAAUGAUAUUGCAAGUAUCUUCUGGUCCAUUGGAUUUGUCUGUAGUACUCUUGUUGAACAAAAGUAAAAAAUUUUUAAUACCAUGGUGAUCAAGCCAUCAAUUUACAGAAAAUAUAAAGGACAAAAAAUAUGUUAUUUCAUAAAUGCAAUCAACAAAAUUCACAUUAUAUGAAAUGACAGGAAAAUGAAUCUGGUACAUCAACAAGUAAAUUCCAAGGGAAAAAGAAGAAAAAAGAGAAGAAAAGGAAUUCUGUAGAUAAAAAGAGAGCUGAGAGAUACAAAAAAGAAAGAAUAAGAAAACAGGCAAAACUAUAGUGUUUAGGGAUGCAUGUGUCAGUGGUAAAACUGAAAAAGAAAUAAUUUUCAUAAACAUCAGGAUAGAAGUUAUUCUUGGGAGAAGAAAAGAGCACAUGGAAAGUUGCUAGGAUGGUGAGCAAGGGUCUAUGCUCUGACCUGUGUAGUGGUUUGCAGUUUUCUAUAUUUGGUAUACUUAACAAUAAAAGUUCUAAAACACACUAAACAACAUAUAUAGUACAAAUAUAUAUGCAUGUUUCAGGUUAUGUAUUUCAACAGAGUGAUGUGGUAUAAUGGAAAAUAUAUAUUUGGUUUUGUCCCAAGUUUCUGUGCUGGAGCUCCCAAAACUCAGGGAGUGAUAAAGGAGAGUAUAUUUUGUAUGCUAAUAAGAUGACUGGUGUACUGGGGUCCCCUAGAUAGCGUCAGGAUGGGGCAGUUUGCCAUAAAGACCAAGGCCUGAUUAGAGGGUUGAGGGCUAGAACUUUCAGUCCAUCCCCCCCACCCGCCAACGCCAAACCUCCAGGGAGGGGAGAGGGCCUAGAGGUUGCAUUCAGUUGCCAAUCAUGUCUGUGUAAUGAAACCUCCAUAAAAACCUUAAACAACAGAGUUCAGAGAGCUUCCAGGUUGGUGAAUACAUUAAGGUGCUGGGAGGGUAACACAGCCAAGAAAGGGCCUAGGGACUCCAAAAAGCACACAUUCACCCCUACUACUGGCCUUACAAGUCCCAUACAUUUGGAAGUUCUUAAUUAGUAUCCUUUAUAAUAAACUGGCAAACAUAUAUAAAUUAUCCUUCCAAGUUUUGUGAGCCACUGUAACAAAUUACUGAACCUAAAGAGAAGGUUAUGAGAACCCUCUAUUUAUUUUCUGGCCAGUUGGUCGGAAGUCAGGGUAUUCUAGGAUUUGGGAUUGGCAUCUGAAGUCCCUAGAGACUCUGCCCCUUUAACUUGUGGUACCUAUGCUAACUCCAGGUAGGUAGUGUCUUCAUUGUAUUGAAAUAUUAGACACCCAGUUAUUGUCCAGAGAAAUAGAGAAUUGGUUGGUGUGGAAAAGAAACAUUCAUGUUGAUACUUUGUUAGGAGGAUACUGGGGGUGAAGAUCAGAAAGAAAGAAGAAAACUCAGUGACAGGGCCUUGCCUAGACUGAAGUUGACAAUGUGCUAAUAACGGCUAAUGUUCAUAUAGCCUUUACAUUAGGCAUUGUUCUUACUGCUUUACAUAUAUUAACUCAUUGGAUCCUAUAAAAUAGGUACUAUUACUCCCAUUUUACAAUUGGGAAAUUGAGACACAGAGAGGUUAAGUAAUUUGCUUAAAGCCACAGUGCUAGUAAAUGGCAAAGCUCAAAUAUGAACCCAGGCAUUCUGUUCCACAAUCUGAAAUAAUUACAUGCCCAUAAGCAUUAUACUGUGUUACUGACUACCAAGAAAUAUGAUUAUCUCAACUCUGUACCUGAUGCUCAGUAAAAAUAUGUUCAACUGCUUGCUCAUUAUCACUAUCUAGAUAGUGUGCUCACCUCUUGGGGGGUACCAUGCACCCCCAAAUGUACCCUGUCUAAGCUAGAACAACUAUUUCCCAUCUGCUGUUAAAUCAGUACUGAGUCAAAUCUCUCCUUUCUUCCUAUAACCUCCCAUAUCAAAUCUAUCAGCAAAUGUUUUGGUCCUACCUCCAAAAUAUAUACCAGCUUUGACCACUGACCAUAUUUGAUAUUUGCUGUUGCCAUUCUAACCCAAACCACCACAGUC